CCUGGACUGCUGGUACCGUGGGCGAGAGCGCUGCCGCCAGGCCAGCCAGCUCAUUCGUCAGGAGCAGCACUUGGAUCGUACUGAAAGGUGCGCACACAGUAGGCUCAACUUGAGCGCGUCGCUGAUACGAAAAAACGGCCACUUCAAAACUUCAUACCUCAAAAACGGCUGGGCAUUGGCGCAAAAAAAGGAAGAAAAAAUACGGGUUAGUAUGUUUCCCUAUUCUACCCCUCUACCAAAAUUGAACCUAACCUGAGGAAAACAAUCGGUAGCCUCCCCUUGUGAGUACAACAGACAUGUAAAUCUUAAAUUUUUAUGUAAAAUUAAAUACGAUAGUUGUUGCUCAAUAAUAUUGAGUAAAAUGCAGAAGAAAUAGUUGGUUGUCAUAUUAUAUUCCCUAAUAAAACAGUUGUUUUUUUGUUUUUGUUUUUUACAGGAGAAGAAAGGUCCUAUUCCUCAGUCAGUCAUUGUUAAUUCUAAAACCUCAGAAAAUGUUCCAAAAUCAAAACAAGACUCAAACUCUAAAUCAAACAAGCCUGCUAAAAAUAGUUUGGACAAUUUCUCAUCAAUUAACAGCUGCCAUCAGGCAAACCCAGAACGGAGACCAAAGGCCCAUCAAGCGCUCGUUUUUGAAGCCUCUCGAAAUUUACGCGAGAGAACCUCGACACAAAUGCGAAUGAAAAUUUCUUGGUGGGGGCUAAAAAGAAAAAGGGCACCAACAGCAACAAUCACAGCAGCAGUAGUAGUAUCAAUCAAUCAAAUUACAUGAGCUACUAUGAAGAAGAAUUAUUGGGAGGAAAAGCACCAGGCUCCAACAAACUUGUUAAACAACGAGGAGAAGAGGGAUGGAAGGAAGUCGUCCGAAAAUAUUUGAAUUCACCUUUUCGAUCCAAGAAAGUCUCAGUGCCUCCAAAUGCCAUCAGCCGCGUUAUUGGGCGAGGUGGAUCCAAUAUCAACACCAUUAGAACAACAACAGGUGCUUUCAUCGAAAUAGAAAAACAAAGUAAAGGUCAAGGAGAACGUAUAUCACAAUCAAGUAAGUGCUUUAUUACACUGCAUUGGUUUUGGCCAUGAUAUCCUAGUUUAAGCCAGUGGCCGCGAGCGGAGGACUCGGCAAAACCUCGCCGGUGCGUAAACUCGAAGACGAGGGAUUGGGGUGAUUCCUCCGCCCGGAGGAAACGCGUGGACGAGGGUUUGGUACUAUACCCUCUCCUCCGAGAUGAGGGAUUCACCUCCGGCUCCUGCACAUGAAACCCUCGCGCUGCCGGCGCUGCUUAAAAUCGACGAGCGGCAAUUAUGCGCGCCCGGACCUGCCUUUCUAGGAAAUUCCUGGACGCAUAGACUGGCGGCGGCGCGAAGGCAUAACGAGAGCCCAACUUCGGGCCUGACGCAGGCCGGAGGGGUGGCGGGGUGAGUCUUGGGAAAAACCGCCAAUAUGAGGGAUUGGCCUCUCGUUCGAGCGAGCCAAACCCUCGCGGCGAGGAAUUGGGUCUAUUCCUCCGCCACGAGGAAACGCGUGGCCGAGGUAUUGCACCAAUUCCUCAUUGGGUCGUUUGCGCGUCGUUGAGGAAUUCCCUAAAAUCUCGAGGACGAGGGUUUACGCUCGACGAGGACAGUAUUUGGCCGAUUCCUCUCCUCUGCUCCCCUCCGCUCGCGAACCGUGGUUUAAGCUGGCACAUGGUGAUAAUUUUGAUUGCAUAUUUAUUGAAUCAUUGUG
rnacentral:lncRNA from 1 species